rnacentral:lncRNA from 1 species
CUGAGCUAACUCUUUUUUCUUUUGAGACUCGAUUUCAAGUCACUAAAUUGCUAUCCGCCUGCCUCAGCUUCCCAGAGGUGUUCACCAUCACGCCUGGAUCACUUUUUCUUGUUUUGUCGUUUUGUUUUGUUUUGAUUUGUUGGGGUUUUUUGAGACAAAGUCUCAGGACCUAGUUCAGGCUGGCCUCGAACUCACCAUGUCACCCAGGUUGACCUUGAACUCAUGAAUAUCCUCCUGCCUCAGCCUCCCAAGUGCUGGAAUUACAGGAAAAGUGACGUUGAAAUUACUGAAUUAGAUAACUCUCCUCUACUGUUUUCCUGCGUGCCAUACAUUUAUACAUUUCCAAUGACAAUACACACAAUUUCCCUUUUAUUUAAUGCAGUAUUACAGUGUAGCGGCAGACUUGCAGUCCACAGUGCGGGAGCUCUUAGUGGUUUAGCAGGAUCAGGCCAAGAAGAAUCGAGAACACACCCGGAAGUUGGAGAGACCCGAAGAAUCCAGCCAAGGGCCUGGAUCCCACGGCAGUGUCCCGCAGAAGUCCAGCUAAAGGCCUACAGUCCAAGGCAAUGUCCUCCACGAGUCCAGCCAGAGGCCUAGGUCCCACAGCAGUGUCUCAUCCAAGUCCGUAUCGGGGAUCGGCACCGGGAAGGCCCAAGGGCCAGUGGUGGAAGCUAAAAGCCUGCACUGUCGGGGAGAAGGCUCUGCGCCCCCAGCCGAGGGACCUGCCCUGGAGCCAGGAAGCGAUACUCAAGGCGAAGACCAUCCAUCGUGACCAUGAGGACCUGACAUGGCAAGCUUCUCCAAGAAAACUGGAGCAUGCAAGCUUCCCCUCCAGUUCUAUUUUUAUGCUGUUGCAAUAACCCUCAGGUGGGUCUUCCACACCCAGACCACGCUGACUCAGUUCAGCUGGGCGUUCCUAGUUCACCAUUAGUUAGUCCACCCCACCCACUAAAAAAGAAAAACAGAAAUACGUACUGCAAUAAAUAGUUUGCCUG